rnacentral:tRNA from 4 species
GCGGGGGUGCCCGAGCUGGUCAAAGGGGGCGGACUUAAGAUCCGCUGGCGAAGGCCUGCGUGGGUUCAAGUCCCACCCCCCGCA